AGCUCAGCUGGCUAGAGCGUCCCGAAGGCUUUCGGGAAGGUCAUCGGUUCGACUCCGAUAUUCUCCA
rnacentral:tRNA from 1 species